GAACUGAAGAGUAGCCAGCCAGCAAAGCAGAAAUGUGAUGUACAUAUCCCAAGUCCAGUAUCUCAGAGCCAAGUGUACAGACAAGGGUCGUAUCGUUUGGCUUUGUGUCCCCACCCAAAUCUCAUCUCAAAUUGUAAUCCCCAUGGGGAUGGUUUUCCCCCUGCUAUUCUCGUGAUAGUGAGGGGGUUCUCAAGAGAUCUGAUGGCUUUAAAAGUGGCAGUUUCCGCUGCCUGCUCUCUCUCUCUCUCUCUCCUGCUGCCUUGUGAGAUGUUGCCUGCUUUCCCUUCACCUUCUUCCAUGAUUGCAAGUUUCCAGAGGCCUCCCCAGCCAUGUGGAACUGAUAAACAGCUCUAUCAGGCUGGUUCUCAAAGGACAGGAGAUGUGGAACUGAACUUCAGCAAACAUGAAAUAGCAUGUAUACAAGCAAGAAAUUGACCUCUGGAGUUAUAAGCAACCAAGAUUUUCAAUUUGUUACUGCGACAUAACCUGGAUUAUUUUGAAUGAUAAGUACGCUCUAGUUAUGUGUGGUCAGUAUUUAGGCCUAGUUUUUUGUUCUGUUUCUUUCCUAAGAAUAGCAUGUAGGGUAAAAAGAAAUAUGUUAACUUGGACUUAAUGGGACUCUAGUAGCUGUCAUCCAUUUGGGGGGAUUCCAUUCAGAUAGUAAGUGAUCUUUUCAAUAAAAGAAAAAAAAAGAAAAGUUCAAGUCAUUAGAUCGGUUAUUCUAUUUCUCAUAAACUAUCGGUCAGAUGAAAAAAAAUCAGAACUUUACAUGGAAGUCAUUCUAUCUUAAGGAAGAUUGAUGCUGUCCAUUUGUUCUUCCUAGAAGCUAAUGCCAUAUAAAAACUUAUCACAUCAAUGGGAAGAAGCAAAGAAUACAAGGAGAAGAAAGGGAUGAGAAGAAAGUACGUCAUCCCCUCCUUUAUGCGGCAUCUAUUCUCUCUCAGCUUUUCUCCUCAUAGGCAGCCAUUGCUCUUCCAGUGUGUUCACUCUGCCUCCCAGUCUCUCCUGCGUACCUUUGCAUGCAUAUCUUUGCAUACAAACCAGCCACUCUGUUUUCUGUUGUUUCAUCCUGGCUAAAACAUGUCAAUUCUUCUAUUGAAUAAGUGGUAGAGAGAAAAGAGAAAAAAUUAAGAUAUUAAAACUUCCUAAGGAUGAUUUAUUUUAUAAAAUGCCAAGUGACGAUGAUGAACCACUUAAAAAGCAGCAAAAUACGCUGAAAAAAAUUACCAUGGUCUUAUAUGCCACUAUCGUUAUUCUGAAGAAAUUCUAUAGGGCUAUUUUUAUAAUUUCUCACUCUCUGUCUCUCUCUCUCCCUCCCUCUCUCUCUCUCUCGAUGGAGAUAGGGUCUUGCUCUGUCACCCAGGAUAGACUGCAGUAGUGGGAUCAUAGCUCACUACAGACUCAAACUUCUGGAUUCAUUCAAUCCCCCCUUCUCAGCCUCCCAAGUACAAGUAGCUGUGACUACAGGCACAUGACACCACACCCGGAUAAUUUCUUAUGUUUUUUUAGUGACAUGGACUUGCUAUGUUGCCCAGGUUGGUCUCAAACUCCUGGCCUCAAGUGAUCUCUCCUCAGCCUCCUAAAGUGCUGGGGUUACCGUUGUUACCAUGCCUGCCCUAACAUUUCUCUUAAUUACAUGUUACAUUCCUUGAGAAUUAAGAUCCUGCCUCAUUCACUUCGGAAUGCCUAAAACCUAACACAGUACAUAGGCACUGAAAA
rnacentral:lncRNA from 1 species